UGGAUCCAGACUUUGAUUAUGGCUCAGGAUGAACGCUGGCGGCGUGCCUAAUACAUGCAAGUCGAACGAAACUUCUUUAUCACCGAGUGCUUGCACUCACCGAUGAAGAGUUGAGUGGCGAACGGGUGAGUAACACGUGGGCAACCUGCCCGAAAGAGGGGGAUAACACUUGGAAACAGGUGCUAAUACCGCAUAACCAUGAACACCGCAUGGUGUUUAUGUGAAAGGUGGUUUCGGCUACCGCUUUCGGAUGGGCCCGCGGCGCAUUAGCUAGUUGGUGGGGUAAAGGCUUACCAAGGCAAUGAUGCGUAGCCGAACUGAGAGGUUGAUCGGCCACAUUGGGACUGAGACACGGCCCAAACUCCUACGGGAGGCAGCAGUAGGGAAUCUUCCACAAUGGGCGAAAGCCUGAUGGAGCAACGCCGCGUGGGUGAAGAAGGUCUUCGGAUCGUAAAACCCUGUUGUCAGAGAAGAAAGUGCAUGAGAGUAACUGUUCAUGUUUCGACGGUAUCUGACCAGAAAGCCACGGCUAACUACGUGCCAGCAGCCGCGGUAUUACGUAGGUGGCAAGCGUUAUCCGGAUUUAUUGGGCGUAAAGGGAACGCAGGCGGUCUUUUAAGUCUGAUGUGAAAGCCUUCGGCUUAACCGGAGUAGUGCAUUGGAAACUGGGAGACUUGAGUGCAGAAGAGGAGAGUGGAACUCCAUGUGUAGCGAUGAAAUGCGUAGAUAUAUGGAAGAACACCAGUGGCGAAAGCGGCUCUCUGGUCUGUAACUGACGCUGAGGUUCGAAAGCGUGGGUAGCAAACAGGAUUAGAUACCCUGGUAGUCCACGCCGUAAACGAUGAAUGCUAAGUGUUGGAGGGUUUCCGCCCUUCAGUGCCGCAGUUAACACAAUAAGCAUUCCGCCUGGGGAGUACGACCGCAAGGUUGCAACUCAAAUGAAUUGACGGA
rnacentral:rRNA from 1 species